rnacentral:tRNA from 1 species
GGUUUUAUAUUCAAUUAAUGAUUUUAAAUUGCAAAUUUAAAGGUGUAUUAUUAUACUAAAACCU